rnacentral:rRNA from 1 species
AUUGAACGCUGGCGGCAUGCCUUACACAUGCGAGUCGAACGGCAGCACGGGUGCUUGCACCUGGUGGCGAGUGGCGAACGGGUGAGUAAUACAUCGGAACAUGUCCUGUAGUGGGUGAUAGCCCGGCGAAAGCCGGAUUAAUACCGCAUACGAUCUACGGAUGAAAGCGGGGGACCUUCGGGCCUCGCGCUAUAGGGUUGGCCGAUGGCUGAUUAGCUAGUGGGUGGGGUAAAGGCCUACCAAGGCGACGAUCAGUAGCUGGUCUGAGAGGACGACCAGCCACACUGGGACUGAGACACGGCCCAGACUCCUACGGGAGGCAGCAGUGGGGAAUUUUGGACAAUGGGCGAAAGCCUGAUCCAGCAAUGCCGCGUGUGUGAAGAAGGCCUUCGGGUUGUAAAGCACUUUUGUCCGGAAAGAAAUCCUUGGCCCUAAUACGGUCGGGGGAUGACGGUACCGGAAGAAUAAGCACCGGCUAACUACGUG